rnacentral:rRNA from 4 species
UGAUGCGGUAGAGGAGCGUUCUGUAAGCCUGUGAAGGUGAGUUGAGAAGCUUGCUGGAGGUAUCAGAAGUGCGAAUGCUGACAUGAGUAACGACAAUGCGAGUGAAAAACUCGCACGCCGAAAGACCAAGGUUUCCUGCGCAACGUUAAUCGACGCAGGGUUAGUCGGUCCCUAAGGCGAGGCUGAAAAGCGUAGUCGAUGGAAAACAGGUUAAUAUUCCUGUACUUCCAGUUAUUGCGAUGGAGGGACGGAGAAGGUUAGGCCAGCCUGGCGUUGGUUGUCCAGGUUUAAGGUGGUAGGCUGAAAUCUUAGGCAAAUCCGGGAUUUCAAGGCCGAGAGCUGAUGACGAGUUGCCUUUAGGCGAUGAAGUGGUUGAUACCAUGCUUCCAAGAAAAGCUCCUAAGCUUCAGAUAACUGGGAACCGUACCCCAAACCGACACAGGUGGUUAGGUAGAGAAUACCAAGGCGCUUGAGAGAACUCGGGUGAAGGAACUAGGCAAAAUGGCACCGUAACUUCGGGAGAAGGUGCGCCGGCGAAGGUGAAGGGCUUGCCCCGUAAGCUUUUGCUGGUCGAAGAUACCAGGCCGCUGCGACUGUUUAUUAAAAACACAGCACUCUGCAAACACGAAAGUGGACGUAUAGGGUGUGACGCCUGCCCGGUGCCGGAAGGUUAAUUGAUGGGGUUAGCGCAAGCGAAGCUCUUGAUCGAAGCCCCGGUAAACGGCGGCCGUAACUAUAACGGUCCUAAGGUAGCGAAAUUCCUUGUCGGGUAAGUUCCGACCUGCACGAAUGGCGUAACGAUGGCGGCGCUGUCUCCACCCGAGACUCAGUGAAAUUGAAAUCGCUGUGAAGAUGCAGUGUAUCCGCGGCUAGACGGAAAGACCCCGUGAACCUUUACUAUAGCUUUGCACUGGACUUUGAAUUUGCUUGUGUAGGAUAGGUGGGAGGCUUUGAAGUGGGGACGCCAGUUCUCAUGGAGCCAUCCUUGAAAUACCACCCUGGCAACUUUGAGGUUCUAACUCAGGUCCGUUAUCCGGAUCGAGGACAGUGUAUGGUGGGUAGUUUGACUGGGGCGGUCUCCUCCCAAAGAGUAACGGAGGAGUACGAAGGUGCGCUCAGACCGGUCGGAAAUCGGUCGUAGAGUAUAAAGGCAAAAGCGCGCUUGACUGCGAGACACACACGUCGAGCAGGUACGAAAGUAGGUCUUAGUGAUCCGGUGGUUCUGUAUGGAAGGGCCAUCGCUCAACGGAUAAAAGGUACUCCGGGGAUAACAGGCUGAUACCGCCCAAGAGUUCAUAUCGACGGCGGUGUUUGGCACCUCGAUGUCGGCUCAUCACAUCCUGGGGCUGAAGCCGGUCCCAAGGGUAUGGCUGUUCGCCAUUUAAAGUGGUACGCGAGCUGGGUUUAGAACGUCGUGAGACAGUUCGGUCCCUAUCUGCCGUGGACGUUUGAGAUUUGAGAGGGGCUGCUCCUAGUACGAGAGGACCGGAGUGGACGAACCUCUGGUGUUCCGGUUGUCACGCCAGUGGCAUUGCCGGGUAGCUAUGUUCGGAAGAGAUAACCGCUGAAAGCAUCUAAGCGGGAAACUUGCCUCAAGAUGAGAUCUCACUGGGAUCUUGAAUCCCCUAAAGGGCCGUCGAAGACUACGACGUUGAUAGGUUGGGUGUGUAAGCGCUGUGAGGCGUUGAGCUAACCAAUACUAAUUGCCCGUGAGGCUUGACCAU